GACGAACGCUGGCGGCGUGCUUAACACAUGCAAGUCGAGCGGAAAGGCCCUUUGGGGUUCUCGAGCGGCGAAUGGGUGAGUAACACGUGAGUAACCUGCCCCAGACUUAGGUAUAACCCACGGAAACGGGGGCUAAUACCGGAGACGACACAGCUUCGUAUGGCAGCUGUGUGGAAAGUUUUUCGGAUUGGGAUGGGCUCGUGGCCUAUCAGCUUGUUGGUGGGGUGAUGGUUGUCCAAGGCGAAGAGGGGUGGCAGGCCUGCGAGGGCGACCGGCCACACUGCGCCUGCGACGCGGCCCGGACUCCUCCGGGAGGCAGCAGUGGGGGAUGUUACACUGUGGGCGGGACCCUGAUGCAGCGACGCCGCGUGGGGGGUGACAGCCUUCGGUUUGUAGACCUCAUUCCGCAUGGACGGAACGUAAGUGACGGUACCUGCAGAAGAAGCGCCGGCUAACUACGUG
rnacentral:rRNA from 1 species